UACAGAGGGUGCGGGCGUUAAUCGGAAUUACUGGGCGUAAAGCGUGCGUAGACGGUUAUUUAAGUCGGGUGUGAAAGCCCCGGGCUCAACCUGGGAAUUGCAUUCGAGACUGAAUAGCUAGGGUACGGUAGAGGGAAGCGGAAUUUCCGGUGUAGCGGUGAAAUGCGUAGAGAUCCGGAGGAACACCAGUGGCGAAGGCGACACGCUGGGCCGUACCUGACACUGAUGCGCGACAGCAUGGGGAGCAAACAGG
rnacentral:rRNA from 1 species